GAUGAACGCUGGCGGCGUGCCUAAUACAUGCAAGUCGAGCGAACAGACGAGGAGCUUGCUCCUCUGACGUUAGCGGCGGACGGGUGAGUAACACGUGGAUAACCUACCUAUAAGACUGGGAUAACUUCGGGAAACCGGAGCUUAUACCGGAUAAUAUAUUGAACCGCAUGGUUCAAUAGUGAAAGACGGUUUUGCUGUCACUUAUAGAUGGAUCCGCGCCGCAUUAGCUAGUUGGUAAGGUAACGGCUUACCAAGGCAACGAUGCGUAGCCGACCUGAGAGGGUGAUCGGCCACACUGGAACUGAGACACGGUCCAGACUCCUACGGGAGGCAGCAGUAGGGAAUCUUCCGCAAUGGGCGAAAGCUUGACGGAGCAACGCCGCGUGAGUGAUGAAGGUCUUCGGAUCGUAAAACUCUGUUAUUAGGGAAGAACAAAUGUGUAAGUAACUAUGCACGUCUUGACGGUACCUAAUCAGAAAGCCACGGCUAACUACGUG
rnacentral:rRNA from 1 species